AUUUUAGAAACCUAUUCAUGUUCAUCCCAGUAACGGCUCAAAAAAAUGCCGAUAACCGUUGUAUCGCUGAAAAAGUGCCGAUGAAAUAAGUUUCUUCUAAAUUGGGCUCUUGAUUAAGCUGCCGCUGUCAAAAUCAAAGAGACCCAAUAAAUUACCAGUCACAAAAUUUUUAUAAACAAAAACAUUGCAGUGCAAUCAGAAACAUUGCAUUUUUGAUCUUCCGUAAGGAAAGUAUACCCAAAGGGAUGCAUCUUCAAAUCCACAUCACAAAUAGAGUGGAGGCAUAGGCAUAUUCAAAGGACCUGUGGGAUAAGGCACUGAAGGAGGUCCAAUAGGAUAUGGUAGUGAACUUGGAGUAUUUGU